ensembl:lncRNA
GUGGUUGGAACAGGAAGUGACACACUCAGAGAGCGGCUGAAGGUUGCAGAUAAAGAGACCAGGAAGAAGUGCAUCGAAGCUUUGCUAUGAUCUCGUACUCUGACCCUCUUAUCUGGGAAAAAGGCACAGCUGCUCUUAGAAAUAUUACUAGCUCUAGGCCACCCUCUCCUCAGCCAAUCCGACUGAUGGAACCAGUCCUGAAUGCACUCGGUACGGCCGACAUCCUCCUGCAAAAGCCAGUGGAGACUGGGGCUGUAUCAGACACAUCAAUACUAGAUGAGGACUCUUUAACUUUAAAUGACCCCAGUCAUCCAGGAGAAAGCACACCAGGGGUUUAUCUGACUGUGCCGCCCAGCAUGCAGAGGAGUAUCCAGAAAUACAGGGAGAACCAUGAUGCGCCUGGUCUCGCACAAGUCUCUGGGGAGCUUCAGUCCUUGGACAAUAGCAGACAGUCUGGCUGAUGAGCUAAUGGCUGAGGCUCUGGCUGAUGUUGCGGCAGAGUUCCAGGAUGUUUGCGAAGAGUAUGCGGAAGCUGGAGUUCCUCCAGCCUGUCCAGUCUCCCACCACAUCAAUAUCAUAGAGACUACUUAUAAACAACUUAGAAGCAAUGACAUUUUGAUAUGUUUUUGGAACUGAACAUCGUCAUAUCCAGAUUUAUAUUUUUGUAUGUUUUUCCAUGAAUUACGUUUAAAUAUUGGACUUUACAAUCCCUGAAUAGAACCUGCUGGUUAGAGCUCAGUUUAUACUCAGAUGGGCAUUUCUGUUGUAAUGUGAAACCUCAGUGGGUGGUCUGACUUUUAAAUGCAAACAGAUGCUUUUUAGCACACGGCUAACAAAUGUCACAUCAAUGUGCCAUAAUCCAUACAACCUUCUUUGUGCGUUAGUCAAUGCAUUAGUCGACUUCUGCGGUAGCUAUUCAGCAUAGACAAAAGCCUUAAAAGAACCUCUACAUUAUUAAUGCAUUGCAAAUGAUAAGAUUUUUGCUGUUUUCUAUAAAUACCUCCCACUAGAGGGUUAACACGCUUACUUCCUCUUGAAUAAGAAUUAAGGGAUGCAGUAAUGCUGUCCAUAUCAGAACGCAAACUUGUUACUUUGUGGACUGAUUUCAUACACUCUAAAACAUAUGUUUUGUUUCUCUGUGCUAAUUGUCUUUAAGUUCACUAUAAGCAUCCAUAUGUUGCCCAGCGUGAUUGGACAGGUGAGGUAUAUUUAGAGUGUGUGUAUAGUUUAUAUGUCAGAGCCUGAGGGGAAAAUAGCCUCCAGAUGGGUCCAGAUGUUGUGCUGGGAAUGUGCAUGGACAGGACAACUAGGGCCUAAGCACUGUAGUAUUUACAAGCAUUUUUACCAUAGGGUCUGUGUGUUGAAAUGUACAUACCUAUAGCUCUUAUAUAACUAAGUAAAACUAUAAUAAUCAGAAAGUGCAUAGUUUAGACAUAUUAAAGAGUAUAAAAUGAGGGUCCGUGUCUUUUGAGGGCUUUUUAUGGCUUUAAAAGUAUUGGUUGUCCCUUUAUUGCUUAACUGUAAUGCAGUGCACAGAUUUUAGGGUACGUUUCUUAACCUGUCAAGUUCUAGUUUAAACCCCCAGAUGUGAGUCACCGGUUUCUUCCCAGUGUUCAGCAAUCUACAUAUUUGUGAAAAAUGCCAAAAGCAAAUUAACAGCACAAGUAACUGCAUUUGCCAGCAAAUUCUAGGCUUUGUGCCAUGAACUAUUAUGAAUGCUGUGAUGGGGAUAUAUGAAUAUAGUCACCAAUUUGGCAUGAACUUGUUCUUGUUUUUUUUUUCUAUUGCUGGUGAAAGAUACCUGUUGAAUUUGUAUUGUAUUUAUAAUCAUGAUUUAAUUUAUAAUGAAAAUAAAUGUUUUAAAAUGGCUCUUCCA